GCUGAUUUCAAGGUCGACAGACGGGGUGGUGGUGCUUGGUCGAUGACACGACAUCGACGGAAACAACCGCGCCGGCGGUGACAGCAGCGUACAUACACCCCUUUCUGUCUUACCAAUCUGUCGGUGUGGAACUUGCAAUCACAAGUGGAAAAGUUAAAUAAAUGAUUCGAAGAGGCGCAACAAUCCCACACGGAAGUGUUGCAAAACCGAGUCGAA